CGGCAGGCCUAACACAUGCAAGUCGAACGGUAACAGGAAGCAGCUUGCUUCUUGCUGACGAGUGGCGGACGGGUGAGUAAUGUCUGGGAAACUGCCUGAUGGAGGGGGAUAACUACUGGAAACGGUAGCUAAUACCGCAUAACGUCGCAAGACCAAAGAGGGGGACCUUCGGGCCUCUUGCCAUCGGAUGUGCCCAGAUGGGAUUAGCUUGUGGUGGGGUAACGGCUCACCAGGCGACGAUCCCUAGCUGGUCUGAGAGGAUGACCAGCCACACUGGAACUGAGACACGGUCCAGACUCCUACGGGAGGCAGCAGUGGGGAAUAUUGCACAAUGGGCGCAAGCCUGAUGCAGCCAUGCCGCGUGUAUGAAGAAGGCCUUCGGGUUGUAAAGUACUUUCAGCGGGGAGGAAGGGAGUAAAGUUAAUACCUUUGCUCAUUGACGUUACCCGCAGAAGAAGCACCGGCUAACUCCGUGCCAGCAGCCGCGGUAAUACGGAGGGUGCAAGCGUUAAUCGGAAUUACUGGGCGUAAAGCGCACGCAGGCGGUUUGUUAAGUCAGAUGUGAAAUCCCCGGGCUCAACCUGGGAACUGCAUCUGAUACUGGCAAGCUUGAGUCUCGUAGAGGGGGGUAGAAUUCCAGGUGUAGCGGUGAAAUGCGUAGAGAUCUGGAGGAAUACCGGUGGCGAAGGCGGCCCCCUGAC
rnacentral:rRNA from 1 species